GGGGGAAUAGCUCAGUGGUAGAGCACAUGCUUAGCAUGCACAAGGUCCUGGGUUCAAUCCCCAGUACUGCUG
rnacentral:tRNA from 1 species